rnacentral:rRNA from 1 species
UACGUAGGGUGCGAGCGUUAAUCGGAAUUACUGGGCGUAAAGCGUGCGCAGGCGGCGCGUUAAGACAGGUGUGAAAGCCCCGAGCUUAACUUGGGAAUUGCGCUUGUGACUGGCGUGCUGGAGUGUGGCAGAGGGAGGUGGAAUUCCACGUGUAGCAGUGAAAUGCGUAGAGAUGUGGAGGAACACCGAUGGCGAAGGCAGCCUCCUGGGCCAGCACUGACGGCUCAUGCACGAAAGCGUGGGGAGCAAACAGG